GCAGCGUCGCCGCAGGCGCGCUCCCGCCAUCACCCGCUUGCCGCUUCCACGUUUGACCUAGGCGGUCGCGCGCUCAUCGACCACGCCGCAGCCUCUCCGCGUCCUGAUCCGGGAAACCUCAGUGAAGCUAAAUUGGAGCAGAUUGGUAACAUGAGAACUUCCAGCUGAAGCAGAAGUGUUGCCAACUUGAAUGUAUUAUAAAGAAGAUAGCUGAAGAAAGGAGAAGAAGUGAGCGGCUGCACACUUGAGAUGAGAUGGAGGAACAAGAAAGAAUUAGGCAUAGUUAUAGCAAUUAUCUGUACAAUGUAGUAAGUGAUAAUUGCCUUGGCAACAAGGCAAUUUUUCUGAUAUUUUGAUGAGUAAUGUUUCAGUGUAAUGUAUCAAUACAAUGUUGUAAGGUGAUGUUUCUCCCUGGAAAUGAAAUAACAAAUUUUUUUGUGCAA